UUCAAGACCAAACAGCCUUGACGCUGUCUGUGGAAAGAAAGAGUCAAGACAUUGACUGUUUGUCAAAUAACAGGCUCUUUAAUAUGAAGCUUUGGACACGGUGUCAAACAGGGUGUUCUUAUUGGAACAGUGUAAAGUGUGGCUUUCUGACCUCUGCUUUUAUCCACAUGUCCACACAUCCACAGGGGGCCUACAUGUGAGCUAUCAUGCAUACAGUGUCUAAUGAAUGCAUCUAUCAAAGCAUAAACACAGAGUUAAUUAAAAAGAAACAGGUUGUUAAAACAGUAUAACAAAUGACGGAUUUUGUCACAGUUUGUGGUUCACAGUGCUAUGAUGAUCAAAGAGUCCCUUUCGUCUUUUUUAUCAUGGUGAGGAUCAGAGGUCACUUGGAGGUUAUGAACAAUGUCCUACUGUGAAAUCUGUUUUAUGACAGUGUCUUUUCUUGCAUUAUAAUUGAUCAGAGUUGCGUCACUCAUAGGUCAUUUGUGUGAUAAGACUCAAGGUAUGUUUAUAUCAGAUGUGCUGGAAGGCUGAAGGAAUGUCUUAUCAGAUGCUUUUCACAGUGAUCAUGGGGUUACAAGCAGGCAAACAGAACAUUUAGUUAACAGAAAAGCAAUAUUUAUCAUUUUGGUUUCCACACAGUGUAUAUGGAUGAAGCAUCCUGAGUUGUCUUCUUGAAUUAGUUCAUAAGUUCGCCUCAUUUUUGACUGAGAUUUGAUUGAAAAGAUUUGCUCUCUAAGUAGAUUAAGGCAAAUGAGCCUUCACAGCAGUCAUU